rnacentral:misc_RNA from 1 species
UCUCCGUUGGUGAACCAGCGGAGGGAUCAUUACAGAGUUUUCACAACUCCCAACCCUGACGAACCGUACCCAUUCUGUUCUCGUUGCCUCCGGCGGGGGGGACGGGGGGGCCCGAAACGGCCUCCCCGCCCCGCCCGCCGGGGGCGGCGGGCCCUACGAACCUUUAUAUCUCAACCACCAGAAACCGUCUGAGAAAACAAACAAAAUAAUCAAAACUUUCAACAACGGAUCUCUUGGCUCUG